GCAGAAGUCACCACCUACUGGGUCACCAGGGUUCAAGGCUUGUACUCAACCUGAGGCCAGGCUGUCUAUGCACAGCUCACCACCCCACAAGUUCCCUUAACACCCAUUCCUUUUCUUGCCCUCCACUGAUUUAUUGUCUUAUAGUUUCAAACACCCAUGGAGAUGAGGAUGAUACCUCCUCCCACUACUAAGAAAACCCAACUAAACAAGAAUUUGUACCCCAACAAGAAUCAGCACACAACACAGAGAGUUUAGGAGACAGUGAAGUCCAGGCUCAGAAUACAGGAAAGGGUGAGGGUCACAGGAAGCUGAUAGAGUGAAAGGACCUUGAAAAUCCACAGGCAGUGAGGAAUGGUGAGAAGGAAGUCAUCUUCUGAAAGCCAAGUGUUCACCUUCACAGAAAGCAGCCAUUCCAGACCUUGAUCUUGACCUUCUGACCUCCACAAAUGUGAAAAGCCAAAAUUCUAUUGUUUAAACUACCAAUGAUUUCUCAGAAGCAUUUGUAUUAGAUAUCUUUUUCUAUGGUUGCACAUGCUUUUGAUAUUUGUAGUCUUCAAGCAUUAAAGACAAGAGUUUACAAUCA
rnacentral:lncRNA from 1 species